GCCAGCCGCCGCGGUAAUACCGGCGGCUCGAGUGGUGACCACUUUUAUUGGGCUUAAAGCGUUCGUAGCUGGGUUGUUAAGUCUCUUGGGAAAUCUGGCGGCUUAACCGUCAGGCGUCUAAGGGAUACUGGCAAUCUUGGAACCGGGAGAGGUGAGGGGUACUUCGGGGGUAGGAGUGAA
rnacentral:rRNA from 1 species